GAUGAACGCUAGCGGCAGGCUUAAUACAUGCAAGUCGAGGGGCAGCAUGACUGUAGCAAUACAGUUGAUGGCGACCGGCAAACGGGUGCGGAACACGUACAGAACCUUCCUUCGAGCGGGGAAUAGCCCAGAGAAAUUUGGAUUAAUACCCCAUAGCAUAUUGAUGAGGCAUCUCAUUAAUAUUAAAGAUUUAUCACUUGAAGAUGGCUGUGCGGCUGAUUAGGUAGUUGGCGGGGUAACGGCCCACCAAGCCUUCGAUCAGUAACUGGUGUGAGAGCACGACCAGUCACACGGGCACUGAGACACGGGCCCGACUCCUACGGGAGGCAGCAGUAAGGAAUAUUGGUCAAUGGACGAAAGUCUGAACCAGCCAUGCCGCGUGAAGGAUGAAUGCCCUCUGGGUUGUAAACUUCUUUUAUAUGGGACGAAAAAAGAUCUUUCUAGAUCACCUGACGGUACCAUAUGAAUAAGCA
rnacentral:rRNA from 1 species